rnacentral:rRNA from 1 species
GAUGAACGCUGGCGGCGUGCCUAACACAUGCAAGUCGAACGGAGAUUACGGACGGAAGUUUUCGGAUGGAAGACUGUAAUUCUUAGUGGCGGACGGGUGAGUAACGCGUGGGCAACCUACCCUAUACAGGGGGAUAGCAGCUGGAAACGGCUGGUAAGACCGCAUAAGUCGGUUAAAUCGCAUGAUUUGAUCGGGAAAUGAGCAAUCAGGUAUAGGAUGGGCCCGCGUCCGAUUAGCCAGUUGGCAGGGUAAAAGCCUACCAAAGCGACGAUCGGUAGCCGGACUGAGAGGUCGGACGGCCACAUUGGGACUGAGACACGGCCCAAACUCCUACGGGAGGCAGCAGUGGGGGAUAUUGCACAAUGGAGGAAACUCUGAUGCAGCGACGCCGCGUGAGUGAAGAAGUAUUUCGGUAUGUAAAGCUCUAUCAGCAGGGAAGAUGAUGACGGUACCUGACUAAGAAGCCCCGGCUAACUACGUG